rnacentral:rRNA from 1 species
CAAAAAUCCGGGAUUCUGAGGCCGAGAGCUGAUGACGAGUUACCCUUUGGGUGACGAAGUGGUUGAUGCCAUGCUUCCAAGAAAAGCUUCUAAGCUUCAGGUAACCAGGAACCGUACCCCAAACCGACACAGGUGGUUGGGUAGAGAAUACCAAGGCGCUUGAGAGAACUCGGGUGAAGGAACUAGGCAAAAUGGCACCGUAACUUCGGGAGAAGGUGCGCCGGUGAGGGUGAAGGACUUGCUCCGUAAGCCCACGCCGGUCUAAGAUACCAGGCCGCUGCGACUGUUUAUUAAAAACACAGCACUCUGCAAACACGAAAGUGGACGUAUAGGGUGUGACGCCUGCCCGGUGCCGGAAGGUUAAUUGAUGGGGUUAGCUAACGCGAAGCUCUUGAUCGAAGCCCCGGUAAACGGCGGCCGUAACAAUAACGGUCCUAAGGUAGCGAAAUUCCUUGUCGGGUAAGUUCCGACCUGCACGAAUGGCGUAACGAUGGCGGCGCUGUCUCCACCCGAGACUCAGUGAAAUUGAAAUCGCUGUGAAGAUGCAGUGUAUCCGCGGCUAGACGGAAAGACCCCGUGAACCUUUACUAUAGCUUUGCACUGGACUUUGAAUUUGCUUGUGUAGGAUAGGUGGGAGGCUUUGAAGCGUGGACGCCAGUUCGCGUGGAGCCAACCUUGAAAUACCACCCUGGCAACUUUGAGGUUCUAACUCAGGUCCGUUAUCCGGAUCGAGGACAGUGUAUGGUGGGUAGUUUGACUGGGGCGGUCUCCUCCUAAAGAGUAACGGAGGAGUACGAAGGUGCGCUCAGACCGGUCGGAAAUCGGUCGUAGAGUAUAAAGGCAAAAGCGCGCUUGACUGCGAGACAGACACGUCGAGCAGGUACGAAAGUAGGUCUUAGUGAUCCGGUGGUUCUGUAUGGAAGGGCCAUCGCUCAACGGAUAAAAGGUACUCCGGAUAACAGGCUGAUACCGCCCAAGAGUUCAUAUCGACGGCGGUGUUUGGCACCUCGAUGUCGGCUCAUCACAUCCUGGGGCUGAAGCCGGUCCCAAGGGUAUGGCUGUUCGCCAUUUAAAGUGGUACGCGAGCUGGGUUUAGAACGUCGUGAGACAGUUCGGUCCCUAUCUGCCGUGGACGUCUGAGAUUUGAGAGGGGCUGCUCCUAGUACGAGAGGACCGGAGUGGACGAACCUCUGGUGUUCCGGUUGUCACGCCAGUGGCAUUGCCGGGUAGCUAUGUUCGGAAUAGAUAACCGCUGAAAGCAUCUAAGCGGGAAACUAGCCUCAAGAUGAGAUCUCACUGGGACCUUGAGUCCCCUGAAGGGCCGUCGAAGACUACGACGUUGAUAGGUUGGGUGUGUAAGUGCUGUGAGGCGUUGAGCUAACCAAUACUAAUUGCCCGUGAGGCUUG